rnacentral:lncRNA from 1 species
ACCAUGCUAAGACAUGUCAAAUGUUCAGCUAAUAGCUCUUUGGGAAUCAAAAUGAAGCGGCAGUUUGCCGAUUUCCUCCUGGUGACUUUCAUGUUAAUCAGCCUAGUACUUUAGAGACUUUCUCCCUGCUGAAGACAAUUAACGAGAGGUUAUUCAUGUUUAUGCUCUAGUUCCCUUUUUUUUCUUUGUCUUCUUUUGUUUGUUUAUUUUUGUCCUAGAUGGCCUGACUCAGCAGGUAGUGGUGAACUCUGGGGCAAACUUUCUGAGUUUGCCUUUGCUCAAGCAAUACAGAAAUGGCUCAGAUACGCUCCAGAUCGUAUGGGUGGCGCAGGACGACCAACAUCCAUCCCCAUCCCAGAGUAACUUACAAACAGUGAUGUGAAACAAAGACAUGUAACAAGGAAACUUUUUCGUGUAAUAAAUUAUUUUGCAAUUGAUGCAAACUAUUGUCUUUUUUUUUGUAAUUUGACUUACAUGGGGUCCGAUGCUUUAUAUUUUCGGGAUAUUAUUAUGGACAUGACCCAGAUAGCAAGACGACAUUGAAUCUAUGUUGAUUUUUCAUCCGAACCGUCGUAUAUGGUCGGGGUUGAAAUGCCAAUGUUGUAACAACAUUGAAAUACUGUGGUAAACCAACGGUCUUACUAUAGAGACGUUGUAACGAUGUUGAUUCACCGUUGUUUUUUUGUCAUUGAUAUUUGAUCUAUUUAUAGUCGACCAGGUGACAACAACAACGUCGAGAAAACGUCUAUUUAUAGUUGACGAUCAUUCGGCUCCGGUCACCAUCAAAAACCAUCGAUUUGUAGUUGAGCAUUAAAUUGCAUUGCAACUGAUCGGUAGAGCGGGACAUUUGAUUUACUCUCAGCGGAAUUGACCGGAGGAGGCAUCAGGUCAUGCACUGCACUGGCCUGCACCACGAUUAGUAUAAGGCACAUUUCACGGGAACGCAGUCUUCAGAGAUCUCUACGUGAACGCUGUGAUCUGACCUUCAGUCCGAAGAAGAAACCCAGACCAGUCUUAAAAGAAAGCACAAGUAAAACCUUUUUAUUCACAAACAUAUCUUUGAUUGUUAAGAAUUUGUGAUCUUGUCUUUUAUACAUAUCUGUGGUGCUUAUCACCACAUAAUAUAGUCCAAAAAGUGGA